UUCUUACUCCCUCCGUCCGAAAAAACUUGUCCCAAGCUUGUCCCUCAAAUAGAUGUAUCUACCACUAACUUGGUGCUAGAUACAUCUAUUUGAGGGACAAGCUUUUUCGGACGGAGGGAGUAUUUA
rnacentral:pre_miRNA from 1 species